rnacentral:rRNA from 1 species
UACGUAGGAUCCAAGCGUUGUCCGGAUUUACUGGGUGUAAAGGGUGCGCAGGCGGCCUUAUAAGUCAGUGGUGAAAUCUCACAGCUUAACUGUGAAACUGCCUUUGAUACUGUAGGUCUUGAAUUAGGGAGAGAUUCGUGGAAUUCCGAGUGUAGCAGUGAAAUGUGUAGAUAUUCGGAAGAACACCAGAGGCGAAGGCAGCGAAUUGGCCCUAUAUUGACGCUCAGGCACGAAAGCAUGGGGAUCAAACAGG